GGCUCGGUAGCGCGUGGUGCGCAUCUGCAUAUCGUUGGUGAUUGCCGAAGGGAUAAAUUGAAGCAGACACGCCUGUUCGACUCAGGCCCGAGCCA